rnacentral:lncRNA from 1 species
GAAUACAGGAGAGGUGUCAUUUCACCAAAAGAAUAUAAGGCAUUGCCAGCAGCAUGGGACUACAGAACCACGCAGGAAAAAGAGAGAACAACAGAAAAGCACAUGAAAGAAACAUCCAUAUUCUGGAUUAACACACCAUGACCACCAGCCAAAGAACAGCUGGGCAUCCUCCCAAGACGACUGGGAUCUGCUUGCUUGGAAUGGACAGAAUUCAGAGGAAUGCUAUGCAAACACUGACAUCUUCCCUCUCGAUCUUUAUUUACAGUUACAAAAUUACAUGUUAUGAGGAAAUUACUCUGAUGGAGAAUUCAAAUGUAAAAUGAAGAAUUAAUAUUACUGCUUUGAAAUGUUUGGCAACAGGGUAAAAAACAUAUUUUAARCCAAAAGAAGCUUUCCUAACAUGGACAUGGCAGGCCCUCCAUCCCUAAGAGUACGCACUUACUUCUGAUUAAAGCAAACCCCAGUAUUCCAUGCACACAGCUGAUUGCAAAUGAGCUUUCUAUUUAUGGGCUGAAAAAAAAUACACUGCUCACACAGAAAGCUUUAGUCUUAAAUAAAAAAAAAAACCCUAAAAAUUCA